rnacentral:ncRNA from 2 species
UCCAGAUUCGGGGAAGAGACCUCCCCUCCCCCGGGGAAGCACCGAAGGGGCAAGCGGCGCGGGCACGCAGCCUGCGCGGCGAAUCUCUCAGGUAAAAGGACCCCGAAUCUGCG